GCCCCAGUAAGCCUGUCCCACCACCGCGACCUUGGCUUGCCGGAAUGUGCCUGCUGCCAGCAGCAUUCAUGGCAGGGGACACAACGCUGGCAGCCGUCCCCGCAGCCAGCAGCAGGGCUGGCCUCAUUGCUCUGCUGCCCGUGGGGAUGGGGAGUGCGGUGGCUGGCAGCCCCCAGCCUGCUCCCAGGGAUGCUCCUCGUCCCACAGGUGGACUGCUACCACUCAGUGAAGGACACCAUCUACAGCUACGGGGCCCUGACCCUCGAUGGGGAGGAGUACAUCCCCUUUGAGAGGUACAGGGGGAAGACAGUGCUCUUUGUCAACGUAGCCACAUACUGAGGCCUGACGCUGCAGUAUGUUGAACUGAAUGCACUACAAGAUGAGCUGAGAAACCAGGGGGUCGUGGUCCUUGGCUUCCC